GUAACAAGGUCUCCGUUGGUGAACCAGCGGAGGGAUCAUUACAGAGUUGCAAAACUCCCUAAACCAUUGUGAACGUUACCUUCAAACCGUUGCUUCGGCGGGCGGCCCGGGUCCGCCCGGUGCCCCCUGGCCCCCUAGCGGGGCGCCCGCCGGAGGAAAACCCAACUCUUGAUUAUUAUGGCCUCUCUGAGUCUUCUGUACUGAAUAAGUCAAAACUUUCAACAACGGAUCUCUUGGUUCUGGCAUCGAUGAAGAACGCAGCGAAAUGCGAUAAGUAAUGUGAAUUGCAGAAUUCAGUGAAUCAUCGAAUCUUUGAACGCACAUUGCGCCCGCCAGUAUUCUGGCGGGCAUGCCUGUUCGAGCGUCAUUUCAACCAUCAAGCCCCGCGCUUGUGUUGGGGACCUGCGGCUGCCGCAGGCCCUGAAAACCAGUGGCGGGCUCGCUGUCACACCGGGCGUAGUAGAUUUUAUCUCGCUCAGGGCGUGCUGCGGGUUCCGGCCGUUAAAAAGCCUUUUUUACCCAAGGUUGACCUCGGAUCAGGUAGGAAUACCCGCUGAACCUAAGCAUAUCA
rnacentral:misc_RNA from 1 species